rnacentral:rRNA from 1 species
GAUGAACGCUGGCGGCGUGCCUAAUACAUGCAAGUCGAGCGAAUGGAUUAAGAGCUUGCUCUUAUGAAGUUAGCGGCGGACGGGUGAGUAACACGUGGGUAACCUGCCCAUAAGACUGGGAUAACUCCGGGAAACCGGGGCUAAUACCGGAUAACAUUUUGAACCGCAUGGUUCGAAAUUGAACGGCGGCUUCGGCUGUCACUUAUGGAUGGACCCGCGUCGCCUUAGCUAGUUGGUGGGGUAACGGCUCACCAAGGCAACGAUGCGUAGCCGACCUGAGAGGGUGAUCGGCCACACUGGGACUGAGACACGGCCCAGACUCCUACGGGAGGCAGCAGUAGGGAAUCUUCCGCAAUGGACGAAAGUCUGACGGAGCAACGCCGCGUGAGUGAUGAAGGCUUUCGGGUCGUAAAACUCUGUUGUUAGGGAAGAACAAGUGCUAGUUGAAUAAGCUGGCACCUUGACGGUACCUAACCAGAAAGCCACGGCUAACUACGUGCCAGCCGCCGCAGUAA